UAAGCCUGUGAAGGUGUGUCGUGAGGCAUGCUGGAGGUAUCAGAAGUGCGAAUGCUGACAUAAGUAACGAUAAAGCGGGUGAAAAGCCCGCUCGCCGGAAGACCAAGGGUUCCUGUCCAACGUUAAUCGGGGCAGGGUGAGUCGACCCCUAAGGCGAGGCCGAAAGGCGUAGUCGAUGGGAAACGGGUUAAUAUUCCCGUACUUGGUGUUACUGCGAAGGGGGGACGGAGAAGGCUAUGUUGGCCGGGCGACGGUUGUCCCGGUUUAAGCGUGUAGGUGUGUGUUCCAGGUAAAUCCGGUUCACUUUAACACUGAGGCGUGACGACGAGGCACUACGGUGCUGAAGCAACAAAUGCCCUGCUUCCAGGAAAAGCCUCUAAGCAUCAGGUAACAUCAAAUCGUACCCCAAACCGACACAGGUGGUCAGGUAGAGAAUACCAAGGCGCUUGAGAGAACUCGGGUGAAGGAACUAGGCAAAAUGGUGCCGUAACUUCGGGAGAAGGCACGCUGACACGUAGGUGAAGUGAUUUACUCAUGGAGCUGAAGUCAGUCGAAGAUACCAGCUGGCUGCAACUGUUUAUUAAAAACACAGCACUGUGCAAACACGAAAGUGGACGUAUACGGUGUGACGCCUGCCCGGUGCCGGAAGGUUAAUUGAUGGGGUCAGCGCAAGCGAAGCUCCUGAUCGAAGCCCCGGUAAACGGCGGCCGUAACUAUAACGGUCCUAAGGUAGCGAAAUUCCUUGUCGGGUAAGUUCCGACCUGCACGAAUGGCGUAAUGAUGGCCAGGCUGUCUCCACCCGAGACUCAGUGAAAUUGAACUCGCUGUGAAGAUGCAGUGUACCCGCGGCAAGACGGAAAGACCCCGUGAACCUUUACUAUAGCUUGACACUGAACAUUGAGCCUUGAUGUGUAGGAUAGGUGGGAGGCUUUGAAGUGUGGACGCCAGUCUGCAUGGAGCCGACCUUGAAAUACCACCCUUUAAUGUUUGAUGUUCUAACGUGGACCCGUGAUCCGGGUUGCGGACAGUGUCUGGUGGGUAGUUUGACUGGGGCGGUCUCCUCCUAAAGAGUAACGGAGGAGCACGAAGGUUGGCUAAUCCUGGUCGGACAUCAGGAGGUUAGUGCAAUGGCAUAAGCCAGCUUGACUGCGAGCGUGACGGCGCGAGCAGGUGCGAAAGCAGGUCAUAGUGAUCCGGUGGUUCUGAAUGGAAGGGCCAUCGCUCAACGGAUAAAAGGUACUCCGGGGAUAACAGGCUGAUACCGCCCAAGAGUUCAUAUCGACGGCGGUGUUUGGCACCUCGAUGUCGGCUCAUCACAUCCUGGGGCUGAAGUAGGUCCCAAGGGUAUGGCUGUUCGCCAUUUAAAGUGGUACGCGAGCUGGGUUUAGAACGUCGUGAGACAGUUCGGUCCCUAUCUGCCGUGGGCGCUGGAGAACUGAGGGGGGCUGCUCCUAGUACGAGAGGACCGGAGUGGACGCAUCACUGGUGUUCGGGUUGUCAUGCCAAUGGCACUGCCCGGUAGCUAAAUGCGGAAGAGAUAAGUGCUGAAAGCAUCUAAGCACGAAACUUGCCCCGAGAUGAGUUCUCCCUGAGACUUAAAGUC
rnacentral:rRNA from 1 species